UUUUAUAAUUCCAUUAAUGAUGAAAGACCCCCAGAGUGGGGAGACCUUCACUCAAGUCUCAGGAUGAUGCGACCCCCCAAGAACUCAAGUGAGACC
rnacentral:pre_miRNA from 14 species